rnacentral:rRNA from 1 species
GAUGAACGCNGGCGGCGUGCUUAACACAUGCAAGUCGAGCGAGAAGUUUUGAAAAGAUUCUUCGGAUGAAAUUUAAAAUGGAAAGCGGCGGACGGGUGAGUAACGCGUAGGCAACCUGCCCCAUACAAAGGGAUAGCAUUUGGAAACGAAUAUUAAUACCUUAUGAAACUUAACUAGUACAUGCUAGGUAGGUCAAAGAUUUAUCGGUAUGGGAUGGGCCUGCGUCUGAUUAGCUAGUUGGUGAGGUAACGGCUCACCAAGGCGACGAUCAGUAGCCGACCUGAGAGGGUGAACGGCCACAUUGGAACUGAGACACGGUCCAAACUCCUACGGGAGGCAGCAGUGGGGAAUAUUGCACAAUGGGGAAACCCUGAUGCAGCAACGCCGCGUGAACGAUGAAGGCCUUUGGGUCGUAAAGUUCUGUUCUAGGUGANGAAAACNGACA